UGCACUCGUAUCACUUAGGCCCUAGUUCGGCAUUCACACCUAUUCCUCUUGUUAUCUAUGGCAUAGGUAAAAUAAAUCAAUAACCAGUAUACUCCCGAUCUCUCGUCACCUGCUCGGCCCACCGUGUCCCUUUCACAGUAGCGUCUGCUACUCUGCGAGAGAUCGACGGACAAGUUCAUGGCGUUUCGCGCGCUGCAGAGCCACACCUAGCUAUUAUUCGAACUCCUCUCUCGUUGCCCUAAGUCUCUCUGUCUCUCAUAAAUGCCGGAAUUAGAGUCAGGGCAGUGGCAAUGGGAGAACGCGGUCGCCGGCGCCGUUGCCGGAUUCGCAACCGUUGCUUCCAUGCACCCUCUCGAUGUCGUUCGCACCAGGUUCCAAGUUAAUGAUGGCCGGCUCUCCAAUCUUCCCGCCUACAAGAACACGGCACAUGCUAUCUUCACAAUUGCUCGCAUAGAGGGAUUGAGAGGGCUUUAUGCAGGUUUCUCUCCUGCAGUCCUUGGAUCAACUAUUUCGUGGGGUUUAUACUUCUCCUUCUAUAGCAGAGCCAAGCAAAGGUAUUCCAAAAACAGGGAGGAGAAGUUGAGCCCUGGUCUUCAUCUUGCAUCUGCUGCAGAAGCAGGAGCCCUGGUUUCUCUGUGCACAAACCCUGUUUGGCUUGUUAAAACAAGAUUGCAACUUCAGACUCCUCUUCAUCAUGCCCGACCGUAUUCUGGGCUCUAUGAUGCUGUAAGAACCAUUUUGAAAGAGGAAGGAUGGAGUGCACUUUAUAAAGGGAUUGUACCUAGUCUUUUACUGCAGGUUUCUCAUGGUUCCAUUCAGUUCACAACAUAUGAGGAACUUCGUAAAGUUGUUGUUAGCUUCAAGUCUAAAGAAACCAACGGGACUCCUCAGAGUGCAGAUGAACUGUUGAAUUCAGUUGAUUAUGCAAUACUGGGGGGUACUUCAAAAUUUGCUGCUAUUCUUCUGACAUAUCCAUUUCAGGUCAUUCGAGCUCGAUUGCAGCAAAGACCCAGUAAUGAUGGUAUUCCCAGAUACAUGGAUAGCUGGCAUGUGGUCAAGGAAACUGUACGGUUUGAGGGUUUACGAGGUUUUUACAAGGGAAUCACACCAAACCUCCUGAAAAAUGUCCCUGCCUCUUCAAUAACAUUUAUUGUGUAUGAGAAUGUCCUAAAAAUUCUAAAACUGGCAGGAAGAAAUGAUUGAUUGUUUAUCCUUGUCCUUUUCCUCUUUGAAGAUGCUGAUGGUAUCAUUUCUCCAUCAUGACAUGCGUGGUUACAGAAAAAAAAGAAAGUAGAAAUGACAUUUUUGUGGUGUAUCACAGAAUAAUUUUAUUUAUUGAAGCACUUUUGUGAUCGGCAAAAGCUUGUAGCAUCCUGGAUUUUGUGGUUGAACAGAAUCGCAUGCCACACAAAGCUUGCCUAUAUGUGCAAUUAUGGUUUUAAUUGAAGAAAGUAGAAAUUUCUUAAAAGACUCUUGAAUCUCGUUAUUGCUUGUGGUAUGCAAUUUGUUUAUUGAAACACUUUUUUGGUUGAACAGAAUUGCAUGCUACACAAAGCUGGCCUACAUGCAAGUAUACAUCUAAUUAAAUUAAAAAAAAGAGCAUUAUUUAUUUAGCAGUGUGUUCCUAUCUUACUUGGAUGGAAUUGCAGCAUGACCACUUUGCGUUGUAUUGUUUUUGGUGGUAUGUCUUUCUUUAUUUUUGUUUUUGGUCUUGGGGGUUCAAAAUUUCUUGCAGUAAACAAUAAAAAUGAAAUUAAAGUUGGUACUGAUUCAAGCUCUUUCACAUCAUUGGAGCUGUCAGGAAACCAUUUGGGACUGGAUAUUGAAGGCCAAACUUGGUGCAAUAGCGUGUCCUCAUCUUGCUAAUAUUCCGCUGUGGUUUUGAAAAUUGGGAAUCAGCCUCUCCAGUCUCCACAAAUGGGGGUAUGACUGCCUGCCAUCCUCUUUUCCAUGUUCUAUUGUGACCAGGAGUCUGGUGCACUGGGUGGACCUUUUUAAUUAAAUGUCUCGAGUAGAGGGCUUUAAAGUCUUAUUUGGAAUCUCUGAUCCUACCUGCAAUGUUUCCUGGAUUUUCGUGAUAGAGUGACAUCCUGCAUUGGGAGCCUUGGGUCCAGUCUUCGUUUCAUUUUUUUAUUGUUCUUUGUGAUGCAUGCUGGUUUCUUCACAUUCUUCAUCAAGGUCAUGUUGUAAUCUUUAGUCAGCUUACCAGCUAAUUUUGCCAAGGCUCUUCGAUGGCAAGAUCAUUGUGUUGUGGUUGUGGUAAAAAAAAUUACCUUGAGAUUUGUUAAGGCUUGGUAUACAUUGUUGGUCCAUCAUCUAACAACUUGAGCUUUUAGGUGAAUUGGUAAUCUAGCAUGGUAUCGGAGCUGGUUCCCAGGAGGUCCUGGGUUGUAGUCUUGUUGCCCUGUUUAUUGUGUGAUGUUCAAAAAAUUAUUGUAUUCCAUAUCAUGGGUGUUCUUUAUAUCUUCAUGUACUGCUUUUAGGUAAAGUGGUAAUCUAACAAGAAUAAAUGCCAAUUCAGAUGCAGGUUAUUCUACUUGAAUAUCUUUCAUCUUCUUAUGUGAUAAGUUCUGCUAGGUACUGAAAAUGAUGAACAGCCACAACCUAGUCCAGGGGUUUGAGAAUGGGAAGAGGUCCUCUACAUUGCUAGAAGGAAACAAAAGUAGCCUUGUUGUAUGCUUUGAUGCAUCAUGGAAGGUAUGGUCUGACAUGAGGCCUGUGUUUAUUAUUACUGUUUUUGCAAUAUUUUAGGUGAUUAUAUUUACUCAAUACUUAUCGUGGUAGAAAAAAAUUGUCAUAAAAUAUUUAAUGAAGUUACUGUCAUUCUUUAGACUCACAUAAGUCCAUUAGUUUCAUAAAUUUCCUUGCAGUUACACAAAUCACUGUUUCAAAAGCAGCUGCACCUGAUAUCAAGGACAAAAGUGAAGAAUGUAGUUUUUUUUUUAAUAUAUAUAUAAUAGAUAUAAGUGGGGUUAAUUGCAAAAAGAGCUUGAACUUGCACAGUAUCUUUGUCUUGUGGAGUGAUCUCCAUUCAAUGGAGAAUCACUUUUUUGACCAAAUGUAAAAUCUUACAUGAUGUGUUCUUGUGGAAGCUUUUCAAGCACAAAUUUAAUAAAAAUCUGUUGAGGGAAUCUUUAACAA